UACAGAGGGUGCAAGCGUUGUUCGGAAUUAUUGGGCGUAAAGAGCUCGUAGGCGGCUUGUCACGUCGGGUGUGAAAGCCCGGGGCUUAACCCCGGGUCUGCAUUCGAUACGGGCAGGCUAGAGUGUGGUAGGGGAGAUCGGAAUUCCUGGUGUAGCGGUGAAAUGCGCAGAUAUCAGGAGGAACACCGGUGGCGAAGGCGGAUCUCUGGGCCUUACCUGACGCUCAGGCGCGAAAGCUAGGGGAGCGAACAGG
rnacentral:rRNA from 1 species